GACGUGUUCGAGGAUUGGAUGACUGAAUUUCCACGCAACUUCGUUUCCUUCCCUACGUCCUUGUCUCCAUCACUCUCCCCCGAUUCGGCCGCCGACCUCGCCGCUCCUCUAUCCCACCGCCGCCCGCCGCCUUCUCCUCCCUCCCAUCACCUUCUCUACGCCGGCAGGGGCUUCCACCUGUGGAUUGGGGAUCUGCACCGGCGAUGGGCUCCUCCUUCGCCCACGGCAGCGGCUCCGCCUUGCAGGGCCGGGGCGGGAGCGGGAGCGGGCCGUGCUUUGGCCCGGAUCGUCAGCUCUGGCGUGGAGGAGGACCUCUUGUGCGCGGUGGCGGCUGGAGGAGGAGUUGGAUUCGCCAGCAACCGCGACAGAAUCAUCUCAGUAGUCCUUGAUUUUUCUCUACACAAUUGAAUUUCAGUUGCCUGGUGGUCAUUGUGUGCGCAAUUCUCUUAAAUAUUUUGUAUCACUUAUACUCCCUCCGUUCGGAAUUACUUGUCUCGAAAAUGGAUGUAUCUAGAACUAAAAUAUGUCUAGAUACAUCCAUUUCUGCGACAAGUAAUUCCGAACGGAGGAAGUACGUCUAUACUUCAAAAUAGGUAUGGACAUUGAGUAAUUUCAGCCAACUUGCCGUAUGGUAAUUGCAGGUUGAUUCCUAUUCAGAUUUUGCUUUAGUAUGUUUUUUUACUGAUUUCUCGAUGAUCCCCACAAUCACAAAAUCUGGUCAUUUCCAGGUUUAGCAUAACAUAUUCCUCGAUCUAGCAUUUCUUUUGAUAUAGGAGGUUAUUUUUUACUAAUUGGAGGUUUCAGGCCUCCAUGUUAAUUCUAAGAGGGCAAAGUCUGUUGCAAUAUUUGAUCUUCAGAUCUAACCAUGAUGAAUUUUCUGCCAGGCCCCACUUACGGUUCAUUAUGGUGGUGGAAUGUUGACAAGCUGUGUCUGUCUGUCCACCUAUCAUUCUCUCAAUUGUUCAGUUUAAGCACUUUUGGCAGAAGGCUGGACUUUGGGCAUCGGCCGAAUCAUCCUGAGUACUUCUUGAGUUUUUUCUCUCAGCUGCGGAUUGUAAUUUAUUUGCUGCAGAAGAUGGAUGCGAAGAUGUCGAGCAUGUGGCCCUGCGCACAAGAGAAUACAAAUUCACGAAUAAGUAAAACCUAUAUGUCGGAUCGGACAUUCUGUUUCCACUUCUCUACAUCAUGCUGCCCACCGGGCAUGGAUAUUCACCUCCACCAAUUUGAUUGAUCCUAUGUUCUACUUCAGUUUAUCAGACACAAUGUGCACUGACAGAAGAUGGCGGGAACAAUGGAUAUAAUAACGUUGUAAAUAGACGGAGACUGAAUCAUUUCACACUACUUUGAUGUCUAUCGAGCCAAUGGGACAGCAAAGAAAUGAAGAACCGGAAGCAGGUUUUCUAUCUUCACGAGCAAGUCGGCUUCUGUAAAGCUUCGCCUGAGCCAUUCCAGCUCUUUCAGAGCCACAAGAUGAUCUGGAAGUCAGUGCAAGGAAGCCGAGGAACCAGGACGCCAACGGUGCGGAGCAGUUUGCCAUCAAGAGGACUAGGCCAAACUCAACAUCUCCCUCGUGCCUCCAUCAACACCGUGUCCCGCAGGGUCGUCCCCAUCCGCGACGACGAGCUACUGUCGUAGCUUUGUCAGCCGCACGGUUAGAGGGAGGCAUCAAGGGCCGGCCACCGCUGCCGGGGCCGACGUGCGUGCAAUUUCUAUUAAUGUAUCUUAUGUUGCCAAACAACAACAUGCUCUUGUCGAUGCUAGAUCGUUGUGGGCGUGGCAUUUCAGUUUCUUCCUCUGGUGAUGUUCCAAUAUAAUAAGUUCCAUCAAAAUUGCAUGUAUAUCUACCUGGCACCGCCCAGAUGCCCCUCAAGCGGCGCGCCACGGGCGCGCCCCAACUACUAGUUAUAACCCAUGGUUGUGUCGCUGCG